GAUCCAGGGGACACUCGGGUCAGGACUGAUGUGGAAAUUUACCAUGGAGCGUGGGCUGAGCUGGCUGCUCCUCCUGGCUCUUCUAGAGGGUGUCCAGUGUGAGGAGAAGCUGGUGGAGUCUGGGGGAGACUUGGUGCAGCCUGGGGGGUCUCUCAGACUCUCCUGUGCAGCCUCGGGAUUCACCAUUAGCAGCUACUGGAUGAACUGGGUCCGCCAGGCCCCAGGGAAGGGGCUACAGUGGGUUGCCAGUAUUUAUGCUGAUGGUGGUAGCACAUACUACGCGGACGCCGUGAAGGGCCGAUUCACCAUCUCCAGCAACAAAGCCAAGAACACAGUUUAUCUGCAGAUGAACAGCCUGAAGCCCGAGGACACGGCCGUGUAUUACUGUGCGAGAGGCACAGUGAGGGGAGCAGGUGUGAGCCCAGACAC